rnacentral:rRNA from 1 species
AGGAUGAACGCUGGCGGCGUGCUUAACACAUGCAAGUCGAACGAUGAAGCCGGAGCUUGCUCUGGUGGAUUAGUGGCGAACGGGUGAGUAACACGUGAGUAACCUGCCCUUGACUCUGGGAUAAGCGUUGGAAACGACGUCUAAUACCGGAUACGACGCGCGAAGGCAUCUUCUGCGCGUGGAAAGAAUUUCGGUCAAGGAUGGACUCGCGCCUAUCAGCUAGUUGGUGAGGUAAUCGGCCACCAAGGCGACGACGGGUAGCCGCCUGAGAGGGUGACCGGCCACACUGGGACUGACGACACCGGCCCAGACUCCGUACGGGAGGCAGCAGGUGGGGAAUAUUGCACGAAUCGGGCGCGAACGCCU